rnacentral:rRNA from 1 species
AUUGAACGCUGGCGGCAGGCCUAACACAUGCAAGUCGAGCGGAUGAAGGGAGCUUGCUCCUGGAUUCAGCGGCGGACGGGUGAGUAAUGCCUAGGAAUCUGCCUGGUAGUGGGGGAUAACGUCCGGAAACGGGCGCUAAUACCGCAUACAUCCUGAGGGAGAAAGUGGGGGAUCUUCGGACCUCACGCUAUCAGAUGAGCCUAGGUCGGAUUAGCUAGUUGGUGGGGUAAAGGCCUACCAAGGCGACGAUCCGUAACUGGUCUGAGAGGAUGAUCAGUCACACUGGAACUGAGACACGGUCCAGACUCCUACGGGAGGCAGCAGUGGGGAAUAUUGGACAAUGGGCGGAAGCCUGAUCCAGCCAUGCCGCGUGUGUGAAGAAGGUCUUCGGAUUGUAAAGCACUUUAAGUUGGGAGGAAGGGCAGUAAGUUAAUACCUUGCUGUUUUGACGUUACCAACAGAAUAAGCACCGGCUAACUUCGUG